AUUGAACGCUGGCGGCAUGCUUUACACAUGCAAGUCGAACGGUAACAGGCCGCAAGGUGCUGACGAGUGGCGAACGGGUGAGUAACGCAUCGGAACGUGCCCAGUCGUGGGGGAUAACGCAGCGAAAGCUGUGCUAAUACCGCAUACGAUCUAUGGGUGAAAGCGGGGGACCGUAAGGCCUCGCGCGAUUGGAGCGGCCGAUGUCAGAUUAGGGAGUUGGUGGGGUAAAGGCUCACCAAGCCAACGAUCUGUAGCUGGUCUGAGAGGACGACCAGCCACACUGGGACUGAGACACGGCCCAGACUCCUACGGGAGGCAGCAGUGGGGAAUUUUGGACAAUGGGCGCAAGCCUGAUCCAGCAAUGCCGCGUGCAGGGAGAAGGCCUUCGGGUUGUAAACUGCUUUUGUACGGAACGAAAAGGUUUGGGUUAAUACCCUGGGCCGAUGACGGUACCGUAAGAAUAAGCACCGGCUAACUACGUGCCAGCCGCCGCCGUAA
rnacentral:rRNA from 1 species